GGUGAAUUAGAUCAUUGUGGUGGAUACAAUAUGUCUGGGCCAAGCUCGUCAACAUUCCAACGUUAGAUUUGAACAGGCAAACCUUAACUAGUAGGCGUGGCAAGACACACCAUCACGAUAGAGGUACCAUCAUCUGGUUUUGCAAUCCACAUGUCACGACCUCAACACUUCUAAGAUCUACGAAUGAGGUCCCUCUCACUUUUUUCAACCACCACCUCCUCUUUUUAUUUUAUUUUGAUAACUGUGGUGUUUGGGCUAGCUUGCGAGAGCCUCAACU
rnacentral:misc_RNA from 1 species